CAAAAGUGCUUGGUCACAAGUUGGUUUUCUCUAUUUUUAUAUGUGUAUUUUUUUUUUAUUACAAAAGCAGUCCUUGAAUACAUCCACUAUUUUGAAAAGGUUUGUACAAGUAAAAUUUAAAGUCUCUCUUCCCUUUCUCCCCCCUCAUCUCCACUUCUGUCCUUGAAGUAACCACUGUUUACAGUUUGAUAUUUAUCCUUCUAGAACUUUCCCCAUGCAUUUGCAUAUCUGUGUGUAUGUCGUUUUUUAAAAACAAGUAGGCUCCUCUUGAAUAUUGAUCUGUAACAUGCUUUUUCCCACUUAACCAUGUAUCUUGGAGAUCUUUCCACAUCUUUCUAUGGGUCUGCCUCAUUCUCUUUAAUGGCCACAAGGGUUAAGGAUACGUGUAAUAGAUUUUGACCAUUCCCUGAUUGAUGGUGUUUAUGUUAUUUCCGAAUUCUUGCUAUUACAAGCAUGUUGGCAGUGAAUACCCUCAGGGCUCAUGUAGUAACAGCAUGUCUGCCUGAAAAGCGAGACUCUGGGUCAGAAAGGUAAGCACAUUUCCAACUUGCCUGGAUAUUGCGAACGUGUCCUCCAAAUAGACAGUGUAAAAGUGCCAGUUUUUUCACACCAAGCCAACACGGAGCAUUACCACUUAAAAAAUGUAAUAUUGACAAUAAGAGAAAACUGCUCUGUGUGCAGAGUAUUUUCUCCUGGUCCCCCAAGGACAGGACUCCUGAGUUGAAAGUGCCUUCAGGGAACACAGGUUUAAGUUAGUAAUUUUGUUUCAGCCAAAGAAAAUUGACUAGAAAGCUUGGCUUGUGGCUUUGCCCACAUCCAGACUGGUCUCUAGCUUCACUGCCACUCCCCAGAGUCAUCCAGAGCAUGGAAGGCACCACUCAGGGUGCAGAGCCUGUGCCCCCACCCUUCAGGUGCCCGUGCUCCCCAUUGUUGGGAACAGCCUUGUUUACACUUGUUGCCUGGCGUAAUUACUAACACUCCCCAAAGUGUCCUGGUUGCAUGCUAAUUUCUUUUUUUGAGAUGGAGUCUCGCUUUGUCGCCCAGGCUGGAGUGUAGUGGCAUGAUCUUGGCUCACUGCAACCUCUGCCUCCCAGGUUCAAGCAAUUCUACUGCCUCAGCCUCCUGAGUAGCUGGGAUUACAGGCACGUGCCACCAUGUCUGUCUAAUUUUUGUAUUUUUAAUAGAGAUGGGGUUUCACCAUGUUGGUCAGGCUGGUCUCAAACUCCUGACCUUAAGUGAUGUACCCACCUCGGCCUGCCAAAGUGCUGGGAUUACAGACAUGAGCCACUGCCCCCCAGCCUGGAUGAUAAUUCCUAUGGACAGUCUGUGCCACCCCAUCUCAUGAGCGACCCCUACUGGACUGGAGUACCUGACCCCAGUUACUGGGCUUUGACUUAGGGCCUCUGCUUUAUGUUGCAGAACCCACUCAGAACCCCUGCUUGCUGGGCUCCAUUGUCAUUGUCACUCACCUCCCACUCGCUUCCCCAUCAGCCCAAAGAACUGGCUUGCCUUGCCCGUCUUCACCUCCUGCAGCUGGAGCUGAAUGCUGGGGCCAGCGCCUUCCUGAAGAAGCAGAGAGUUAGUGUUAGAGUUGGGAGGUUGUCCAGCAGACGGGAGGCCAGCCUGGGCAAUGGCAAUCUCAGGAGUGACAGCUGGUGGUCAGCAGAGACUUGCUGUGCACUGGCACUGGGCACCUCAGCAUAUUUUACACAGUACUGCACAUCUUUGUAAUAAUAGCUAACAUUUCACCUACUAUGUUCUGAGCACGUUGAUCUAGUAACUAAUUUAAACCUCACCAAAACACCAGGAAAACAGUACCCUAAGUACUGUUACUGUCAUUUUACACAUGAAAACACCGAGACACAGGUUAAAGAAUUGUUCAGCUGGGCGCAGUGGCUCACACCUGUAAUCCCGGCACUCUGGGAGGCCGAGAUGGGUGGGUCGCUUGAGGUCAGGAGUUCGAGACCAGCCUGGCCAACAUGGUGAAACCCCGUCUCUAAUAAAAAUACAAAAAUUAGCUGGGCAUGGUGGUAGACACCUGUAAUCCCAGCUACUCAGGAGGCUGAGGCAGGAGAAUUGCUUGAACCUGGGAGGCAGAGGCUGCAGUGAGCCAAGAUCCUGCCCCUGCACUCCAGCCUAGGUGACAGAGCAAGACUCCAUUUCAAAAAGAAAGAAUUGUCCAAGGUCACCCAGCUGGGAAGUGAGAGGUGGAACCAGAAGUUGAACUCAGGCUCAAAGGCUGGUCUGAAACACUGCAGUCAUAAUCUCAUUUAAUCUUCACAACCACCAUAACUAGUAGAAACUAUGAUUUCCCCCGGCCCCUGCAUUUUACAGAUGGAGAAACUGAGAUGUAAGGAGGUUAAGUGACUUGUCCAAGGUCACACGGGAAGAGGCUGAGCCAAGAUUCAAAGUCUGACUUCACAGUACUGGUUCUGCUCUAUCAUGGGAAGUGUCUCCAACAUAGAUGAGGAGAGGGCAGCCAGUGAACUCACGGACGUCAGUGGCUGGGGCAUCUAUCUUGAGCUGGAGUCACCCAGCCUGGCCAAGAACUGGAAAAGUCUCUUUGGGGAUUUGGACCCAUUUCUGAAAAGCUCAUGAAAACCACUUUGCCUUGGACUCCUGCCCCCAGCCGGAGCCCUCCAUAUCCAUUUAACCCAAAUCCCCAACUCCAGGGAUGACUACAGGUUGGGGGAGCCCCGAGAGCAAGGGAGAGAUGGGUCUUUCUAUGUUGCCCAGGCUGAUCUUGAACUCCUGGCCUCCAGCAGUCCUUCUGCCUCUGCCUCCCAAAGUGCUGGGAUUACAGGCAUGAGACUCCACAGCCGGCCGUCACUUAUGUUAUGCUUAGCAUCCCACAGCAUUUGUGAGGAAACUGAUGUCCAGAAAGAAGCAGGCAUCAGUGGAGACACUCCUAGCCCUGCUGCCCUCUCCUCACUGCACACACUUCCAGGUUCAGACAAACCGGAAAGGAAACCCACCAUGCAGGACUGUCCAUGUGAUGGCUCUUCCCGUGGCUCCAUUUCUAAGCGCCUCCGAGGACCUCAUCGUGGCCCAGGACCGCAAGCCAAGGCCACCCCAGUGUCCUUACCAUCCUGGGAAUGGGAGGAGUCAGGCCCAGCCUUGUCCUGUCUGCCCCCCUGGAAGCCUUCCCUGAGCACUGGCCUCUUAUUUACCCGUCUUUGUCUCUGGCUUGUUGGUAUCUGUCCCUUGUCUGAUUAGGGAACGCCUGAGGUCAGGAUCUUUGCCUCCCCAAUCAGAUUGUCAGGCAGGAGUGGGGGUAGUGCAGAUGCUGGGUCAUUUCUACAUGUGAGACCAAAUAGUGGUCCUGUUUAAGUUGAUCCCCUUGAAAGAAAAUUCUGGAAAAGCUCCUCAGAUGCACAGAUACACAGAAUCAGACCUUGGGCAAAGUGUGUAGUUGUGCUUUUGAAGCUGUGCAACCUUGGACAAACUACUUGACUUCUCUGUGCCUCAGUUUCCUUAUUUGUGAAAUGAGGGGUAGUCAUGAUACCUUCCCCAUGAGGUUGAUGGGAGGAUUGAGUUAAUAUUUAUAAAGCAUUUCAGACAGUGCCAGAGAUAUACCGUGUGUUAAAUAAGUAUUUCUUACACACACACACACACACACAGACACACACACACACACACACACACACACACACACUUCGGAGGUCUGCCAGGCCAGGGCUCAUAGCCUUGAAUCUACCCAUGGUAGAGAGUCAGACAACUUGCCUUGCAGACUGCCUGCUCUCCCAGCAGCCAUGCAGGGGAUCUUCUGCCUCUGCACUGCCGAUUAUCCCCUGCCCUCGUCAGAGCCUCUCCCCAAAAGUACCUCCAAGGCCACAAUUACCCAGGUCUCUGCUUCAGUGCUGAGUGUCUGUUCCUCUCCACCAUCACCUGCCACAGUGCACACGGACAGCUCCAUCAGGAGAAGCAGGGCGAGGCAAGGCAGCAUGGUGAGCCUGCACUGUCCUGGAAUCUCUGGGAGCCCCUCUCAGCUUGAAGAUGCCUCCUGCAGGCUUUGGUUUGCUCUUUGGCUCCUUGAGUGUAGAUAGGGGAAACUCCCCCUGUUUUCUGGUCCUUCCAGCUGUUCCUGAUUCCUUCCUUCAGCUUAACUGAUCCCCAGGCCAGUUUCUGUGACUCCCCUCCCUCCCUGGCUGGACAGGCCAAUGAUAUUAGGAGCUGCUCAGGAGGAGGGAUCAGACCUCUUCCACUGCUGCCCCCUAACAUUUGAUCCCAGGGCUUAACACUCUGAUGCAACACCUGCCUCACCUUUGGCUGUUUCCCUGGUGGCAGGUGCACAGUGGGGCAGUGUGUGGGACCUGGAGCUUGCAGCUUCCAGGCUGGAAAACCUGAAGGGACCUUCUCAUCUUAGAAAUAAGGGAGGGGGCCAUAUGCCUUCUCCCUACCUGGUGCUCUGCUCCCCUGUACAGAGAGGCCUCUCCCUGGAAAUUAGCAGUAUCCCCUUUCUGUCUCCUCUUCCUGUCUUUGAGCCCCCUCCUCUCCAGCAUUCUCCUCCAUCAAUAGUCCCUGUGUGUGCAAAAGAACACGUCUUCCUUUAAGAGAAAUAACACAUUGCUUAAAGAAAUGAGGCUCCUCACGAGUGGGAAUUGGGAUUUGCCAGAAAAAUGGCUGCAGGUUUCAAGCGUCAUUGGCUCUAAGUGAUCUUUCCCCUGUUGUCAAAGUGAUGUUUCUAAGUCCCUAAACUGACUUGUCUCUCCUGCUUACAACCUUUCAGUGUCUUCCCACUGCCCUUGAGUGAAUUCAAGCUCCCUAGUGUGGCGUUCAUGGUGUUUCAUUUAGUUCUUCCCUCUCGCCUAUCCACCCAGAUCCAUUCAUCCAUCUAUCCACUCAUCGGUCUAGAACAAGGGCUCUGUGGUCACAGAGGCCUGGAUUCCAAAUAGUUGUGUGACUUUAGGCACAUUACUUAACUCUUCUCGAGAAUCCUUGUCUGUAAAACAGGAUUAAUAAUAGCACUUGUUACCAAAGUUUGAGGAUGAAAUGAGAGAAUGCCCUGGAGCACUUAGCAUAAAGCGUGAUGGUCAAUAUUUACCACCUGCUGACUUUUUUUUUUUUUUUUUUUUUUUUUGAGACGGAGUCUGGCUCUGUUGCCCAGGCUGGAGUGCAGUGGCGUGAUCUCAGCUCACUGCAGCCUCUGCCUCCUGGGUUCAAGCAAUCCUCCUGCCUCAGCCCCUGAGUAGUUGGGAUUACAGGCGCCCACCACCACACCUGGUUAAUUUCUGUAUUUUAGUAGAGACAGGGUUUCAUCAUGUUGGUCAGGCUGGUCUUCAACUGCCAACCUCAGGUGAUCUACCUGCCUCGGCCUCCCAAAGUGCUGGGAUUACAGGCAUGAGCCACCGCACCUGGCUUGACCAUUAUUACUGUUACUGUUAUCGGCAUUGGGUGAGGCAGUGGGUGGUAGAAGAUGAGUAAGACAUUCAUCCUGUAGCAUAUCACAGUUCAGGCACAGAGACCUCUGGUUGGCAGAUAAGCUACGUUUGGUUUGACAUGUGCCAGCGUAGCGGUGGGAGCAAGGGAAAGGCACGUGCGCCUUCCCAGUCCACCCCUACCCCUGUUCCAGGACAGGCUGUUGCCUCUGCUGGACCUCCCUUUCCGCCUGGUGAAUUCCCAUUCAUUCUUAAAGAUCCAGCUUAAUACUCGCCUCUUCCAUAGAAUUCUUCUGUCUCUAUUCCUGUCUCUAGCAAGAAGUAAUUGGCUCCUUUUGCCAACAUCUGCCACUUGGAUCUCUAUGGCUUCCCACGGGCCUCUAUGUGAAGUUGUGCAGGUUGUGUCCUGCACAAGGCUGGCUGCAGAGGGGGCCAGUGGAGGUGAAACGCAUCCCCAGCUCUGCUCACUGAUCUGCGCAGCCUAGCUCGGGGUGUUCACCCCUGGAAGAAGAAGCUUGGCUCCAGUUCUCCCAAAAGGGACAGCUGGGCUGAGGGCAUCUCUGCUAGUCAGCCAUGUGGUUGUUGACUUUGCCAUGAGCUCUCUGAGAGUAGGGCUGUGACAGAUGUGUGCUUGGCAUACAGUAGGUCCUUAAGAAACCUGCACUCACCCUGAAUCCAGGCCAGCCAAGUCAGAGAUGAUUAAGGGUAAGUAUGGAGUGUUUGAGGGAGGACUACCCCCUCCCCCCACCCAAUUUCGGGAAUCUUUUUGGUGCGUUCUAAACUGGAAGGCUUCAGAAUCCCCAAAUUUGCUAAAAUGCAGCUUCCCCAGCUUAACCUAAUUCCCAGGCAGCCAGUCCUGGCUUGUGGGUUGCUCCCAACUCUGCAGGGAGGCAGUCCCCCAGCCUCCCACUGAGCUCCCCCAAGCGCAGGACACCUAAAGCCUCACACUCCAUUUGGGGUUUUCCAUUGUCAUUAACAGGUUCUUCCUUAGAGGAAACAAAAUGUUGCGUUCAUCCUCUUGGUUUCACAGGUGUGGAAACUGAGGCAGGCCGGGCUUGCUGUAGGAUACACUGAGAAUUCAUUGGCCGACUGGCUUGGACCCCCC
rnacentral:lncRNA from 1 species